CCUGGCGACGAGUGGCGAACGGGUGAGUAAUGCAUCGGAACGUGCCUGGUAGUGGGGGAUAACUGUUCGAAAGAACAGCUAAUACCGCAUACGACCUGAGGGUGAAAGGGGGGGAUCGCAAGACCUCUCGCUAUCAGAGCGGCCGAUGUCGGAUUAGCUAGUUGGUGGGGUAAAGGCCCACCAAGGCAACGAUCCGUAGCUGGUCUGAGAGGACGACCAGCCACACUGGGACUGAGACACGGCCCAGACUCCUACGGGAGGCAGCAGUGGGGAAUUUUGGACAAUGGACGCAAGUCUGAUCCAGCCAUGCCGCGUGCGGGAAGAAGGCCUUCGGGUUGUAAACCGCUUUUGUCAGGGAAGAAAUCUUCUGAGUUAAUACCUCGGGAGGAUGACGGUACCUGAAGAAUAAGCACCGGCUAACUACGUGCCAGCAGCCGCGGUAAUACGUAGGGUGCAAGCGUUAAUCGGAAUUACUGGGCGUAAAGCGUGCGCAGGCGGUUAUGCAAGACAGGUGUGAAAUCCCCGAGCUCAACUUGGGAACUGCACUUGUGACUGCAUAGCUAGAGUACGGUAGAGGGGAGUGGAAUUCCGCGUGUAGCAGUGAAAUGCGUAGAUAUGCGGAGGAACACCGAUGGCGAAGGCAGCUCCCUGGACCUGUACUGACGCUCAUGCAACGAAGCGUGGGGGAGCAACAAGAUUAAAUACCCUGUUAGUCCUCGCCCCUCCCAAUGUC
rnacentral:rRNA from 1 species